AGCGAACGCUGGCGGCAGGCCUAACACAUGCAAGUCGAACGAACUCUUCGGAGUUAGUGGCGGACGGGUGAGUAACACGUGGGAACGUGCCUUUUUGUUCGGAAUAACUCAGGGAAACUUGUGCUAAUACCGAAUGUGCCCUUCGGGGGAAAGAUUUAUCGCCAUUGGAUCGGCCCGCGUCUGAUUAGCUAGUUGGUGAGGUAACGGCUCACCAAGGCGACGAUCAGUAGCUGGUCUGAGAGGAUGACCAGCCACACUGGGACUGAGACACGGCCCAGACUCCUACGGGAGGCAGCAGUGGGGAAUAUUGCGCAAUGGGCGAAAGCCUGACGCAGCCAUGCCGCGUGAAUGAUGAAGGUCUUAGGAUUGUAAAAUUCUUUCACCGGGGACGAUAAUGACGGUACCCGGAGAAGAAGCCCCGGCUAACUUCGUG
rnacentral:rRNA from 1 species